UACUCUUUUGUGUUAAUUGCAUAAAUACAGAUGAGGUGCUGUAAGUAGUUGACCCUUCUGGAUCCUUUCCUAGUUAUACUACUCCUUAAGUACGGCCUAAUGAGAAUUGGUGAAUAAGCGGCAGUCUUUGGAUCUGCAGUUGUCGCGUCGGGGAUAUCCAUCACCACCGAAGAGGAAGGCAUACCAAUCAGAAGAGCUUCACUCUCAACUCUCCCUAAGGUACCUUGGUUUCUGCUAUGAUAUUGAAGAACAAAUCAAGGACAUAAGGCUGAGAGAUACAAUGUGGCUGAUUUCAAACAGAAACGAUGCUCAGUACUUCAUUACCUGUUUUGUUGUUGUUCAGGUAAGGAUUGAAAUAAUACUAGAAAGAUGCAGAAGAGUAAAUACAAUUGAACAAAGAAAGGUAGUAAUGUAAAGCAGUAUAUUCACCUGUGAGCAGAGGUCAGGGUCAGCUUGUCACCCAUCCAUCCAUCUAUUUUUUUUUUUAAUGUUUUAUUGAGGAACUCUUGUGCCAGGUUCUCUUCUAGGUACUGAAGAAGCAUCAUGAACAAGGCUUGCUUGGUCUCUAACUAUAUAGAGCUUAU
rnacentral:lncRNA from 1 species